rnacentral:misc_RNA from 1 species
AUGGCGAAGAUUGUCAAGGUUUCUGAAUCGGUUGCGACGGUCCUCCUGUGCGAGUACUGCGCUAACCUCACUUUCAAGCACAUACAAGAUUUCGUCAGGCACCUGAGGGAACAACAUUGCUCCCGAGAAGGAGGAUCGUUCGUGUGUCGCUACGGCUACAAUGACGUAUGCUCUAGUCUCCCGGUGGAAGGUGUCUCCGAUAAGGAUUAUGUAGCCCAUGCAAGCAAGCACGCAGUGAUGCAGCAGCAAAGAAAGAGUAACGGACAGAUUUCUGAGCUACCUUCGUCAUGGACAAUAUAUUCUGCAGCGCAGAAUCUGCCAGCGGUACUUAAUGAUCCUACGAAAGGAAAACAAAGCAAUUUCUUUACAAAAACAUGGGGUGAUUCGUUUGUCGAAAAAACGGAUAUUCCUAAGAGUCCAUACCUUCCAGAAAUUACGGCUCAGCAUUUUGAAUCUUAUAUGAAAAAGAUUGCUCGGAGAUAUCGCAAGCAUGCCCGGAUGAGUUCAACUUCCACCCGACCAGUGUCUCCAAACGAAUUCCUACAGAACUUUCCAAAUCUUAAAAAAGUGAAGCUUUUGGAACGCUCUCAGUUUGAUCUUUCCAGUAUACCAAAAAUAUUUCUAAGCCAAAAUUUGGAUCUUUCACGCCGAGAUAAUUUCGAAGCGGUAUUUCCAUUCACGAAAGAAGGGUUGCUGGACAAAGAUGGCAAUGUCGUUGUUCAUGUUAAACUCAUGCAGGAGACGUUAAGCCACUAUCUGGAUAUUGUUGAAGUCAGGAUUGCGGAACAAGUUGCUUCGAAAUCUCAAGCGUUUUUUCAUGCUAUGACAUCGCAUGACGCACUCAUGGAGCAGCUUACUCAAACAAUAACGGUGUUAAAAGCGUUAAGGGAAAAUAUACAUCAGAUUGACAAAAAUCUCGUCACCGAUUCGUUAGAAGUUUUAAGACUGGAACGAGCGAGAUGCAAUCGAACAUUGGUUCAAGAGAAACUUAAAUUAAUGGCUACGGUUCACCAGAGUCAGCCUAUGAUACAAUUGUUGCUAUCUACUCCAGAUUAUGUAGCUGCUCUUGAUCUGAUCUCGACUACUCAAGAGAUACUUUAUCAAGAGUUAAAUGGCAUUCACAGUUUCAGACAUUUAAGUUCACAAUUGAGGGAAAUGGAACGACUCGUUGACAAGAUGUUGUCGACCGAAUUCGAGCGAUACGCUACAGCCGAUCUUAAUAGACCUUUGGGAGGAGAAAGCCUUGUUUUAGAUGGCGACAAGUUGGUUUCAAUAAUUUCCGGUCUGCUUCGCCAAAAGCAUUUCCAAUUUGUGGAUGCCUACAAAGAAGAGGCUAUUACCACAGUGAGAGCGGUGACCAAGGAACGAACUAUAGAAGCUUUGGCGGCAAGUGAUUGUUGCAGUGAUCAGCAGGCUGCUGCGUUGGAGGUCGGAGGCCUUUCCCUUGCCGAGAGGCUGACUCUUUUGCACAAAACGAUUCAGUCCCUUACUUCUCUUUUACAUCGAGUCAAGGCUGUUCACGAUGUUAUGCGAGAUACUGCCGAUUUGUCUGCCGGUCGUAGUCCCUAUGGUGCACUCGAUACAUCGUUGACGGACUGUUUACUGUCUUCUGAAGAGCAUUUUCGGAUUUCUAAUAAACUUGGUGAUAUGGUUACAUCGGUCUGUGAUUAUUGUCACGAGCGUCUAGGAUACCUUCUAUCGGCGGGUACCAAUGAAAAGGAGAAACUUCUUCCAACGGAAAAGGAAAAAGCCGUGAACGAGACUAUGCCCAUCAAAAGUACCGAUAAGGACAGUUCAACCUGGAACGAUAAGACUUCUUGGUUGGGUGACAGGGCUACUACUGCUCAAGUCUGUCAGUUAGCCUCUAUGGUCGAAGGGUUUACCGAGACUUGUGAAAAGCUUUGCGGAAAGCAGUGCACGGCGUUGCGGUCAGCAUUCAAGGCACAAGCUAGCAAAUUCGUGCAACGUUUUCAUUCGGAACGUAAGACAAAACUGAGUCUUCUUCUCGAGGCCGAAAGGUGGAAACAAGCCGAUGUACCGUACGAGUUUCAGUCCUUAAUAACGUAUGUGCACGAAAAUCAAGCUUUUCCCGUUAGUCUAGAUAAAUGCGAAGGCUCGCAGAGAAACAAGGUACCGGUUAACUUUGUAUCGGUAGGCGAAGAACAGUAUGCCGUAGUAGGAAGUGUCUUGAUACUCACUCAGAUGAUCCACGAAUAUUGCAGAGCGGGAAGUGAGUUAACGGCUCUGUCAGGUGCCUUAGGACGACAAUUGGCAGAACUUUUGCGUCAUUAUAAUUCCCGGUGUUGUCAACUUGUUCUUGGCGCGGGCGCUAUGCAAGCAGCGGGAUUAAAGAGGAUCACUAGUACAAUUCUGGUACUGACAUCGCGUAGUUUGAAGUUGGUUCUUUGGCUUAUGCCCUAUGUUAGGGCGCAUUUUCAAGAGCUCUCCAAUAAAAGUGCUGGCCGCGGUGUUAUUGGUGUCUGUGGUCCAAGUGGCGGAGUCGCUCUUUUAGAUAACGUGGAAAGAGACAUUCGUGCCCAUAUCAAGGAAAUAGAGGAUAAGAUCUUGACCGUUGUCGGCAAUCUUCUGAGCGGACAACUUUCCGAAUGGAAUGCUAGACCUCCUGUGCCGUCGCAGUAUUUCCGCACGAUUUCGAGGCAUCUCUCGAAGCUUCACGAGGCAGUUUCAGGGAUCCUACCUCCAUCGCAAGUGCAGUCAUUGUAUCGUACCGUAAAUGCUUCGUUUAAGGAAAAAUUGAGGGAACAGUUGAUGAAGCUGAAUAUCGUUAACGAUGGAGGACCUCAAUACUGUAUGGUUGCGACCGAACUGACAUUUUACCUGGAAGCCCUGAGAAGUUUGAAGAUUCUACCGACAGAGGAAUUAAAGGAUGAUUGGAUGAAUGAUAUAUGGACCAGAUAACAUGCAGAGCGAGUCGUGUACUGCAUUCUGGAAGCCAUGAAGCACUACAGAACGAGUACCAGCUCACAAACUGCAAAGACAUUGGUCUCGGAGGAAACUGGUCUUGAAAGGGAACUUCCGGAAAACAGCUCGGUGGACCGAUGGAUAGGUCGAUCAACCUUCGGCCAGUUAGUGCGUCGAAAAAAACGAGUAAGACAUACGCGCGAGAAGUAGUCCGUAAUGGUAAAGGGUUUUUAAACUGCAGUAUUUGGUAACCGUUCAUGCAGAAAAUGUAAGCGGCAUACCAGGACUAAAGUCCUCUCGGAAUUAAGAAUGUUUUGCUCCCUCAUCUAGGCACUACAAUUUUUUAUUAUUUCUUAGUAAUAUGUUAUGACUUAUCAUAUCUACGCUCGCUCGACAUCUUAUUACAGACUGAUAUAAAAUUAUCACAUCCGCAUCGAGAAGCGUACAAGCAAUUUAAGAGCAGAACAUGAUACUAAUAUACAAGUAUAUGCAUGCAUACGGUCGUUAAAUAGCUCGAAGAAGAAAGAGAGCUUGUCCAUUAUCUACGGAUCUGCGAUUGACAGAUCGGACAUGUACAUCCCUCUUUUUGAGCUUUACAUCUCACGAUAUACACUUCUUCGGUGCGGUCAUCGGAAAUUAUGAAAAUUUUAUCCAGCGAUGCAUGCAUUUACAUGUUAGUAUCGUGGGACCAAAGACGACCAUUCAGGUAGGUAGCAGGUUCAGAGUUAUUUCCUACAGGAAAAAUCACUUAUCGCCGAGUGGCCUAAAGCAAAUAUUUCUAGUCCUCCCUGUUAAAAAGCGGUUGUAAUUGAUGAAUGCUCUCGUUUGAACGAUAGCCAACGCAGAGUGGUGCAAACCGAAUGGUGCUAGUCAUUUACUAGCCAUUAGCUAGCUAAAGAAUAACCCUUUAGAUUUGAACGAGUUUAACGUAAUGUGAUUUACUACACCAAGAAUGAAUUUUAUACAAAUUCAAGGGAGGGCUAUGAAUUGGGCUUAAUGCGGUUUUCCGUAUUUCUCAUUCGCACCGAGCUAUGGAAAACUGUACAGUCCGAGAUAAUAGGUGAAUUAGAUAGUUGAGUUAGAUUUCAUACGUAGUUGUCGAGAAGACAAACGAAUUUCCACGCUGGAGGGGCUUACUGAACGCGACGUGCAUAUAAUUUUAAUUGAAUCAAACAACAGAAUAAAAAUAAGCAAAUAAAACCACUGCCACCUGGCACCGACCACUAUUGACCCUGUAAUUCAUCCGGGACAAGAAUUGGUAGUUACUUUUUAAUUUGACGCCUUAAGAGGUAACGAUGUGAGUAUUGAUGCUAAAUUAUGCCGAGGAAAGGUCGAGCAUUUAUACAUACUAAAUGAAACGCGAAGUAUAUGUAUCUUGGUUGCAGAUACGCACAUGUGUGCACAUUAAACAUCGUAUAUGUUAAUUGAAUAGAAGCGGUUGUAAAUAAUUAUUAUAUAUGAAAUGCUAAUGCCCCUGUUUAACGAUACUUAUUGUUAUCGAAAUUCAGGAAUGCAAAUUGUAGGGUGGAUCAAACAUCGAUAGGGGUAGAUCUUUUCCGGAAAUGAACGAAAGUAGAAAGUAUCAAGUCCUUUAAGUUUCAUCAUGUUAAUUAAUCAGCUUUUAUGUUGAAUAUGAACGCGCUUAGUAAACAAUUAAUAAACCCGAUUUAGUAGGAUAGUUGAUCACAAGAGACUAAAGCGUGAAAGGAAUUUGCUAUCUUAAGGAGGAUCCAAUUGACGUUGCACGUACAGAGAACGCGCAGGUUGCGUCCCGUUUUCAAUUAGUUGAGUGGCUACUACGGAUAGUUGCACUUGCGCAUUCCGAGCCUUUUCCCUUGUCUAGUCCCAUCUCUGUACAUAACAUUUAAAAACCCAAUGUCGAGGCAUUUGUUUAGGAAGUGGUUGUUCCUAUCGUGUCGGAAAAUUCUAUAGCGCUUGAUUUGUAACUUUGUACAUACAAAGAAAGUGUGCCCAAAAUUGCCCGCCUUGUGGAUUACUUUGAUAAAUGCUUGCGAAGAUGUUGAGUCGUAACGCGAUUGCUUCUGGGCUAAUUUUUCUUAAUAUUUAUUAAAGCAGAUUUUAGGAUCAAGACGGCUGUCUCAUUCUUCGGUAAUUCUGCAUACGACUCGUUAAUUUAUAGAGUAAUAUGAAACGUUUAGGUGUAAUAUAUUAUGUAUCUUGCAAUAACGUAGUCCCAUUGUAAGAAGUCAUACUAAAAAUUACACAUUAUACGAUAGUACAUUACAAAACGUGUUCUUUCGUUACGGCAUCCAAUAAGAAAGUAUGAAACAUUUUGCUCGACAUUGUAUUUGACAAAUUAUCAACUUUAUACAUAUGUAUACAUACAUGCAUACCUUACGCAAUGAGUACGACCGUCCGCCCGCGCUGACCCUCCGUGAAGAUCGAAACCUGCGCAUGCUCCGAUCGCGGCAUGCGUUACUCUAGAAACCACCUGCAAACAAACUUGUAACCCU